AGUGAACGCUGGCGGUAGGCCUAACACAUGCAAGUCGAACGGCAGCACAGGAGAGCUUGCUCUCUGGGUGGCGAGUGGCGGACGGGUGAGGAAUACAUCGGAAUCUACUCUGUCGUGGGGGAUAACGUAGGGAAACUUACGCUAAUACCGCAUACGUCCUACGGGUGAAAGCAGGGGACCUUCGGGCCUUGCGCGAUUGAAUGAGCCGAUGUCGGAUUAGCUAGUUGGCGGGGGAAGGGCCCACCAAGGCGACGAUCCGUAGCUGGUCUGAGAGGAUGAUCAGCCACACUGGAACUGAGACACGGUCCAGACUCCUACGGGAGGCAGCAGUGGGGAAUAUUGGACAAUGGGCGCAAGCCUGAUCCAGCCAUACCGCGUGGGUGAAGAAGGCCUUCGGGUUGUAAAGCCCUUUUGUUGGAAAGAAAUCCAGCUGGCUAAUACCCGGUUGGGAUGACGGUACCCAAAGAAUAAGCACCGGCUAACUUCGUGCCAGCCGCCGCGGUAA
rnacentral:rRNA from 1 species